rnacentral:tRNA from 1 species
ACUCUCGUAGUUCAAUGGAUAAAACACAGGAUUCCGGUUCCUGCAUUGCGGGUUCGAGUCCCGCCGAGAGUA